rnacentral:rRNA from 1 species
UACGUAGGGGGCUAGCGUUGUCCGGAAUCAUUGGGCGUAAAGAGCGCGUAGGCGGCCCGAUAAGUCCGCUGUGAAAGUCCAGGGCUCAACCCUGGAAUGCCGGUGGAUACUGUCGGGCUAGAGUACGGAAGAGGCGAGUGGAAUUCCUGGUGUAGCGGUGAAAUGCGCAGAUAUCAGGAGGAACACCAAUUGCGAAGGCAGCUCGCUGGGACGUUACUGACGCUGAGACGCGAAAGCGUGGGGAGCAAACAGG